AGAUAGCUGGUUCUCCCCGAAAUAGCUUUAGGGCUAGCCUCAGGGUAAAGCCUGUGGAGGUAGAGCGACUGACUGGGCUAGGGGCCGAGAGGCUACCGAACCCUAUCAAACUCCGAAUGCCACAGGUGGGUCCCUGGGAGUCAGACCACGAGUGAUAAGAUCCGUGGUCGAGAGGGGAACAGCCCAGACCCCCAGCUAAGGUCCCUAAGGGCAUGUUAAGUGGGAAAGGAAGUGGGACUUCGAAGACAACCGGGAUGUUGGCUUAGAAGCAGCCAUACAUUUAAAGAGUGCGUAACAGCUCACCGGUCGAGAGGUCCUGCGCCGAAAAUGAACGGGGCUCAAACAUGCCACCGAAGCUGGGGCUUAACAGAAGUCAGAGACUUCUGUUAGGGGUAGGGGAGCGUACUGCGCGGGCAGAAGGCUGAGCGUAAGCGAGGCUGGACUGCGCAGUAGUGAGAAUGCCGGCAUGAGUAGCGAGAGCAAGGUGAGAAACCUUGCCGCCGGAAGCCUAAGGUUUCCUGGGGAAGGGUAAUCCGCCCAGGGUAAGUCGGGGCCUAAGCCGAGGCCGAAAGGCGUAGGCGAUGGGAAACCGGUUGAUAUUCCGGUACCACCGAGGGCCGCAUGAGGGAAGUGGGGACGCAGCGAGGUAGGCGGAGCGCGCGGUUGGUAGAGCGCGUCCAACCAGCCACCGAAGGGCACGUAGGCAAAUCCGCGUGCUGGCAGGGGGCUGGGAAGGGGAGCCGCAAGGCGAAGCCGCCGAGGCAGCUGCCAAGAAAAGCCGCUACCGAGGCCUGAGGUGCCCGUACCGCAAACCGACACAGGUAGGCGAGGAGAGAAUCCACAGGCGAGCGGGAGAACCCUCCUUAAGGAACUCGGCAAAUUGACCCCGUAACUUCGGGAGAAGGGGUGCCUCCCUCAGGCUUAGAGUUUAUUGCUCUAGGCUUGAGAAGGCCGCAGAGAAGAGGCCCAAGCGACUGUUUACCAAAAACACAGGUCUCUGCUAAGCCGAAAGGCGAAGUAUAGGGGCUGACGCCUGCCCGGUGCUGGAAGGUUAAGGGGAAGGGUGUAGGCUCUGAACCGAAGCCCCAGUGAACGGCGGCCGUAACUAUAACGGUCCUAAGGUAGCGAAAUUCCUUGUCGGGUAAGUUCCGACCUGCACGAAAGGCGUAACGACUUGGGCGCUGUCUCGAGGAGGGGCCCGGCGAAGUUGUAGUGCUCGUGAAGAUGCGAGCUACCCGCGAUUGGACGGAAAGACCCCGUGGAGCUUUACUGUAGCCUGUCACUGGACACUGCUAGUUUCUGUACAGGAUAGGUGGGAGACUGAGAAGGUGGCGCGCCAGCGUCACUGGAGUCGGCGUUGGGAUACCACCCUGAGACUAGUGGGGUUCUAACCUUAAGCCGUGAACCGGCGAAGGGACAAUGGCAGGUGGGCAGUUUGACUGGGGCGGUCGCCUCCUAAAAGGUAACGGAGGCGCCCAAAGGUCCCCUCAGCGCGGACGGGAAUCGCGCGUCGAGUGCAAGGGCAGAAGGGGGCUUGACUGUGAGAGAGACAUCUCGAGCAGGGACGAAAGUCGGGCUUAGUGAUCCGGCGGCAGUGAGUGGGAACGCCGUCGCUCAACGGAUAAAAGCUACCCCGGGGAUAACAGGCUGAUCUCCCCCAAGAGUCCACAUCGACGGGGAGGUUUGGCACCUCGAUGUCGGCUCAUCGCAUCCUGGGGC
rnacentral:rRNA from 1 species